UACGGCGGGGGCCAGCGUUGUUCGGAAUUACUGGGCGUAAAGCGCGCGUAGGCGGACCUGCAAGUCGGGGGUGAAAGCCCGAGGCUCAACCUCGGAACUGCCUUCGAUACUGCGGGUCUCGAGUCCGGGAGAGGUGAGUGGAAUUCCUAGUGUAGAGGUGAAAUUCGUAGAUAUUAGGAAGAACACCAGUGGCGAAGGCGGCUCACUGGCCCGGUAAUGACGCUGAGGUGCGAAAGCGUGGGGAGCAAACAGG
rnacentral:rRNA from 1 species